rnacentral:rRNA from 1 species
AGAGUUUGAUCCUGGCUCAGAUUGAACGCUGGCGGCAUGCCUUACACAUGCAAGUCGAACGGUAACAGGUUAAGCUGACGAGUGGCGAACGGGUGAGUAAUAUAUCGGAACGUGCCCAGUCGUGGGGGAUAACUGCUCGAAAGAGCAGCUAAUACCGCAUACGACCUGAGGGUGAAAGCGGGGGAUCGCAAGACCUCGCGCGACUGGAGCGGCCGAUAUCAGAUUAGGUAGUUGGUGGGGUAAAGGCUCACCAAGCCAACGAUCUGUAGCUGGUCUGAGAGGACGACCAGCCACACUGGGACUGAGACACGGCCCAGACUCCUACGGGAGGCAGCAGUGGGGAAUUUUGGACAAUGGACGAAAGUCUGAUCCAGCCAUGCCGCGUGCGGGAAGAAGGCCUUCGGGUUGUAAACCGCUUUUGUCAGGGAAGAAACGGCUUUUUCUAAUACAGAGAGCUAAUGACGGUACCUGAAGAAUAAGCACCGGCUAACUACGUGCCAGCAGCCGCGGUAAUACGUGGUGCAAGCGUUAAUCGGAAUUACUGGGCGUAAAGCGUGCGCAGGCGGUUAUGCAAGACAGAGGUGAAAUCCCCGGGCUCAACCUGGGAACUGCCUUUGUGACUGCAUAGCUAGAGUACGGUAGAGGGGGAUGGAAUUCCGCGUGUAGCAGUGAAAUGCGUAGAUAUGCGGAGGAACACCGAUGGCGAAGGCAAUCCCCUGGACCUGUACUGACGCUCAUGCACGAAAGCGUGGGGAGCAAACAGGAUUAGAUACCCUGGUAGUCCACGCCCUAAACGAUGUCAACUGGUUGUUGGGAGGGUUUCUUCUCAGUAACGUAGCUAACGCGUGAAGUUGACCGCCUGGGGAGUACGGCCGCAAGGUUGAAACUCAAGGGAAUUGACGGGGACCCGCACAAGCGGUGGAUGAUGUGGUUUAAUUCGAUGCAACGCGAAAAACCUUACCUACCCUUGACAUGUCUAGAAGUUACCAGAGAUGGUUUCGUGCUCGAAAGAGAACUAGAACACAGGUGCUGCAUGGCCGUCGUCAGCUCGUGUCGUGAGAUGUUGGGUUAAGUCCCGCAACGAGCGCAACCCUUGUCAUUAGUUGCUACGUAAGGGCACUCUAAUGAGACUGCCGGUGACAAACCGGAGGAAGGUGGGGAUGACGUCAGGUCAUCAUGGCCCUUAUGGGUAGGGCUACACACGUCAUACAAUGGCCGGGACAGAGGGCAGCCAACCCGCGAGGGGGAGCUAAUCCCAGAAACCCGGUCGUAGUCCGGAUCGCAGUCUGCAACUCGACUGCGUGAAGUCGGAAUCGCUAGUAAUCGCGGAUCAGCUUGCCGCGGUGAAUACGUUCCCGGGUCUUGUACACACCGCCCGUCACACCAUGGGAGCGGGUUCUGCCAGAAGUAGUUAGCCUAACCGCAAGGAGGGCGAUUACCACGGCAGGGUUCGUGACUGGGGUGAAGUCGUAACAAGGUAGCCGUAUCGGGAGGUGCGGCUG